ACCAAAACAAAGUGGCUCUGGGAACAUUGACCAUGGGACAGACCUGGGCGGGGCCUCCAGAGGCAUCAGGCCUGAGACAGUUGUUCAGAGGGGGAGACCCGGGCCCGAGACGGGGAGAAGCGUGUCUGGGUCUAGGACCAAGGGAUCAGAAGAUGGAUGGAAACGACACGUGAGUCCUCCAGACCCUGCCUCCACCAGACUGCUCUGCUGUAGCGGUGUUCCAGAGGAUCCUUUUCUAGAACCAUCCCUUUCCUAACCAGUGGAGAAUUCCCCAUGAUCCUCCAAAGGCAUUUAAAAGUCUGUCUGAACAACAACAACAGAAAAAAGUGGAAGUCCUUCCCCUUCUGGCUUCAGUCAACAAGAGGAGAGAAGGACUCGGAGCCCCAGCUGGCAUGGGAGGAAGAUAAAUAAGAAAAAACAAAACAUGUCCUCAUGCUACAGUGGAAUGUUUAAAAAAGAGGUGAAAAGCACAAGGGAACACACUGGUUUCCUUGGCAACAGAGAAGUCCAGCCUCCAGAGUUCUGCCGGGAGACCAAGGCUUGGCCUGGGAUGCUCCCGACAAUGAUCUGCAGCCAAGGUCUCACUGUCCCGCCUGCCCAGGCAGUGAGCUGGGUGGGAGAGGUGCAAAAAUGUCAGCUCUGCAAAAUCGUGCGCCCCGGUCCCUGUCUCUCUCCUCGGCACUGGUGCAAGCAGCUACUCAUCCUCAGAUCACCGCUUUCCAGGGCUUUAUGGCUGAGCAGGUAAAAAAUGCUGCUUUUGACAGCA